rnacentral:rRNA from 1 species
GGUGACUUGGGUGCAUGAGCGCGGUGAAUAGUAGGGGUGGAAGCGUGACGUGGAGUGUCUGGGCGGAGAGGGGGCGUAGGUGGGUUUUGAAGUCAUCUGGGAAAUCCCCGGGCGCAACCGGGGAAGGGAAGUGGGUACUGGCAAGCUAGGGUGCGGUAGAGGGUAGGGGAAGUCCCGGGGUAGCAGUGAAAUGCGUAGAGAUCGGGAGGAACACCAGUGGCGAAGGCGGCUACCUGGACCAGCACUGACACGGAGGCACGAAAGCGUGGGGAGCAAACAGGAGUAGAUACCCUGGUAGUC